UGACCUCGGAUCAGGUAGGAAUACCCGCUGAACUUAAGCAUAUCUGGGGGGGGGAAGGAAAA
rnacentral:rRNA from 1 species